AGAGUUUGAUCAUGGCUCAGAACGAACGCUGGCGGCGUGGAUAAGACAUGCAAGUCGGACGAGAUUUUUCGCUGUAGCAAUACGGUGGAAAGUCUAGUGGCGAACGGGUGCUUAACACGUGGGCAACCUGCCGAGAAGUGGGGGAUAGCUCGCCGAAAGGCGAAUUAAUACCGCAUGUGAUUAGAGUGGACAUCCAUUCGAAAUUAAAGUCGGGGCAACCUGACGCUUUUUGUGGGGCCCGCGGCCUAUCAGCUAGUUGGUGGGGUAACGGCCCACCAAGGCUUUGACGGGUAGCUGGUCUGAGAGGACGACCAGCCACACUGGGACUGAGACACGGCCCAGACACCUACGGGUGGCAGCAGUCGAGAAUUUUUCUCAAUGGGGGAAACCCUGAAGGAGCGACGCCGCGUGGAGGAUGAAGGUCUUCGGAUUGUAAACUCCUGUCAUUGGGGAACAAGUCGCUUACGUUAACUGCGUGAGCGUUGAUAGUACCCGAAGAGGAAGAGACGGCUAACUCUGUGCCAGCAGCCGCGGUAAUACAGAGGUCUCAAGCGUUGUUCGGAUUCAUUGGGCGUAAAGGGUGCGUAGGCGGCGCGGUAAGUCGGGUGUGAAAUCUCGGAGCUUAACUCCGAAACUGCAUUCGAUACUGCCGUGCUUGAGGACUGGAGAGGAGACUGGAAUUUACGGUGUAGCGGUGAAAUGCGUAGAUAUCGUAAGGAAGACCAGUGGCGAAGGCGGGUCUCUGGACAGUUCCUGACGCUGAGGCACGAAGGCCAGGGGAGCAAACGGGAUUAGAUACCCCAGUAGUCC
rnacentral:rRNA from 1 species